UGCAGUCGAACGAUGAAAGCUGGAGCUUGCUCUAGCUGGAUUAGUGGCGAACGGGUGAGUAACACGUGAGCAAUCUGCCCUGGACUCUGGGAUAACCCCGAGAAAUCGGAGCUAAUACCGGAUACGACACCUCCCGGCAUCGGGUGGGUGUGGAAAGAAUUUCGGUCCAGGAUGAGCUCGCGGCCUAUCAGCUUGUUGGUGAGGUAACGGCUCACCAAGGCGACGACGGGUAGCCGGCCUGAGAGGGUGACCGGCCACACUGGGACUGAGACACGGCCCAGACUCCUACGGGAGGCAGCAGUGGGGAAUAUUGCACAAUGGGCGCAAGCCUGAUGCAGCAACGCCGCGUGGGGGACGAAGGCCUUCGGGUUGUAAACCUCUUUUAGUAGGGAAGAAGCGCAAGUGACGGUACCUACAGAAAAAGCACCGGCUAACUACGUGCCAGCAGCCGCGGUAAUACGUAGGGUGCAAGCGUUGUCCGGAAUUAUUGGGCGUAAAGAGCUCGUAGGCGGUUUGUCGCGUCUGCUGUGAAAAUCCGAGGCUCAACCUCGGACCUGCAGUGGGUACGGGCAAACUAGAGUGCGGUAGGGGAGAUUGGAAUUCCUGGUGUAGCGGUGGAAUGCGCAGAUAUCAGGAGGAACACCAAUGGCGAAGGCAGAUCUCUGGGCCGUAACUGACGCUGAGGAGCGAAAGCGUGGGGAGCGAACAGGAUUAGAUACCCUGGUAGUCCACGCCGUAAACGGUGGGAACUAGAUGUGGGGUCCGUUCCACGGAUUCCGUGUCGCAGCUAACGCAUUAAGUUCCCCGCCUGGGGAGUACGGCCGCAAGGCUAAAACUCAAAGGAA
rnacentral:rRNA from 1 species